rnacentral:tRNA from 1 species
AUCAUUUUGUCAGAUAGAUUGAAUUAAAUUUAGGAUUUAAAUAGGGAUUAAAAAAUUUCCAAAUGAUA